CGGCUUAAUUUGACUCAACACGGGGAAACUCACCAGGUCCAGACACAAUAAGGAUUGACAGAUUGAGAGCUCUUUCUUGAUUUUUGUGGGUGGUGGUGCAUGGCCGUUCUUAGUUGGUGGAGUGAUUUGUCUGCUUAAUUGCGAUAACGAACGAGACCUUAGCCCUUAAAUAGAGUUGCUGGCAUUUGCUGGUAAAUCUUCUUAUGGGGACUAUCGAUUUCAAGUCGAUGGAAGUUUGAGGCAAUAACAGGUCUGUGAUGCCCUUAGACGUUCUGGGCCGCACGCGCGCUACACUGACGGAGCCAGCGAGCUUUUCCUUAGCCGAGAGGUUUGGGUAAUCUUGUGAAACUCCGUCGUGCUGGGGAUAGAGCAUUGUAAUUAUUGCUCUUCAACGAGGAAUUCCUAGUAAGCGCAAGUCAUCAGCUUGCGUUGAUUACGUCCCUGCCCUUUGUACACACCGCCCGUCGCUAGUACCGAUUGAAUGGCUUAGUGAGGCUUCAGGAUUUGCUUAGAUCGAGGGGCAACUCUCUUUCAGAGCGGAGAAUCUAGUCAAACUUGGUCAUUUAGAGGAACUAAAAGUCGUAACAAGGUUUCCGUAGGUGAACCUGCGGAAGGAUCAUUA
rnacentral:ncRNA from 1 species